UCCAUUAUUUUCAUUAGUUGUUUUUAUAACAAUUUAAUGGGAUAGAUAUGUAUCAGCAAUCAGAAGAUGUUUUAUAGAUAGGGAAACUAUCACAACUUUAUAAUGUUUAUCUUAAAAAUACAAAAUAUAUUUUAUCACUUUGACAAAUCCUUAAAAAAAAUGUAUUUAUUAAUUGUCUUCAGCAUAUCUCAGGACAGAGUGUCAAGAUUUCCACUGCACCUGAGCAUACAAUCUGUUUAGCACUCACCAAAUUUUAUCAUCCUGUGACCACAUUCUAUUGCAUUGUGUGAUUAAC
rnacentral:lncRNA from 1 species